rnacentral:rRNA from 1 species
GACGAACGCUGGCGGCGUGCUUAACACAUGCAAGUCGAACGGAAAGGCCCUGCUUUUGUGGGGUGCUCGAGUGGCGAACGGGUGAGUAACACGUGAGUAACCUGCCCUUGACUUUGGGAUAACUUCAGGAAACUGGGGCUAAUACCGGAUAGGAGCUCCUGCUGCAUGGUGGGGGUUGGAAAGUUUCGGCGGUUGGGGAUGGACUCGCGGCUUAUCAGCUUGUUGGUGGGGUAGUGGCUUACCAAGGCUUUGACGGGUAGCCGGCCUGAGAGGGUGACCGGCCACAUUGGGACUGAGAUACGGCCCAGACUCCUACGGGAGGCAGCAGUGGGGAAUAUUGCACAAUGAGCGGAAGCCUGAUGCAGCAACGCCGCGUGCGGGAUGACGGCCUUCGGGUUGUAAACCGCUUUCGCCUGUGACGAAGCGUGAGUGACGGUAAUGGGUAAAGAAGCGCCGGCUAACUACGUG